AGAAAGAAGCAACACACACACACACUCUUACAGAGAAACGCAACGGUGCCCCUAAUGCACCCGUGAUGGCGGUGGCACUGUGCGCACAACCUUCUCUAGCUGUGCGACGACCUCGCCCCCCUCUACUUGGGGGCGAACUACAAAGACGCGUUCCAACGCCACGCUUGAUGGUCUUUCUCACAUCUCUGCAUUCGUGCUGUCUUUGAUUUUCCUUCGGUGUGUCGCCCCACCCCACCUCCACUUUUUUCUGCCGUGUGUGUGUGUGUGCCUGUGUGGUGCGUGCAACCCUCAUCUUUCUCUGCCUCGCUUUUUUUUUUUUUGCCCGCGAGUGUGCAAACGCACCCACCACACAUUUCCUUUUGCUUUCCAUUUUGGGUGCUGCGUCCGCAGGGGACAUCUGCUGCACCAGGGCAUACACGCAGCCAUACACAAAUACACACACACACACAAACACGCAAACUGCCCUGUCGUUUCGGCUUCCAAAGAAAGCGAGACCCACUGCGCGAGGUGCACGCAUGGACACACAACGCGCUGACUUGUGUGCCUGUGCGUGUGCUUGUCUUGUAGGCCCCUCCCCUCCUCAAGAAAAUGGGCAGCGAUGCAGCCUUCCUGGCGCUGGCGAACAUGGCCAUUGAAGCUGAGAUUCGCACGUACUUUCCCUACACGGCCCUGUAUCGCCGUUUAUGCAGGGGUGGAUCGGAACGCGCGAUGGACUACCUGCACCGCGAGUUUUCACCUGCCCUCGUUGACGCUGCUGAUGACGGCACGCCUGCAACGGCGGAUUUAGUGGCGGGAGUUGCGGCAUCCAGCGCUGGGCUAUCUCAGACUCAACACAAGCGCAGGCGCGCGAGCCUCGUGGGGGAGCUGCAAAAAAGCCUUGAAGAGUUCGCGGCGGCGACCGCCAGGCUCGUCCGAGCACGACUGGAGAGCACCGCCCUCUCAGGCAAGCAAAGGGAGGUGUGCGAUAACGAAGCCGUAACGGUACCGUCGACCCCCGGUGGGGCUGGCGCCGAGCCAUACACGGUCACGUGCCGCCGCUGCACCACAAACGUCACAUGCACUUACCCCUGCUGGGUGCUUGAAGGCUACGUGGUGCUGUGGGCUGAAUCGGUGCUCGAAGUUGAGUGCGUCGCAACAAAAGCAGCCAUAGCAGCGUCCUUAUUGGCGCCGCCUGUGGUGGCAGCACACACGCAGGGCAACUCGAGCGUGAAAGACUCGCUAGGGCUGCGGAGGCCCAGCGGUGUGAUCAAUUCCCGUGACUCCCAGGCCGCCAAUAUACCACACUCCUCUUCGGGACGUCUGUUUUUGUCUUCAAACCGACCACUGGGUCUGCGUCCCCUGCUGCAGCGACUCACCGGCGCGCUUGACGGCUCAGCAGAGGACGCGACCGCACCACCAGCGCCGCUCUCGGCCACCGCAAGAGCAAAAGCGGCUCGCUCUCGCAAGCAGCGGGGUUGCUCUCACUCAGACGGCACCCACCCGGGCGCCUCUACCGGGCCCCCGCCACCGGCGACACAGAUGCUCCGACUGCACAGCAUGUGCAUUGUGAACAGCGACGCGGUGGGCAACGUGCGCCCUGCGUCCUUUGCUCUGCAGUCCGUCCUGCAGCCCGGCUGGCAGACGGCGCUGGAGUGCUACCCGCGACACAUGGUGCACUUUGGCCUUUUGGUGUACGCCGCGUGGCACGCGAGCUCACGGACGUGGGAAAGCGUACUAUCGCAUGGAGACACUUGCAGGGAUGGCAGCGCCGCAGCUGGAAACGGCCAUACAGUCAUGCUCCCGUCGCGCAGCAGUCGAGGUGACGCUGCCCUGCAGAACACGUCCGGAGAGCGGGGUGCAUCGCACACAUCCGAAUCUACGACAGCACCCACCUCGUCGUCGCCUACGCCGGAAGCAGGUGGAGAGAUGCGCCCCGCGUCACUGGUCAAGUUGUUGCCUCACACAUCACACGACGCAGUCUUGAUUCUAGGGCUCGGCGGCAAUGUGCUGGGGCAGUGCUUAGAUGCGCUGCUGCCUGCCGCGGUGCCGCUGCACGUCGUGGAGGUGGAGCCGGCCGUAUUGCAGGCGUGCUGUGAGAACGGACAGUUCCCGGCGAUUGACGUAGUGGAUGACUGGAGAGGGGAGCUCGACGCGGCGCCGUCGUGCAACGCAUUGAAACGGGCAUCUGCUCCGCACAAGAAAGACGCCUCGCCUCGCAGGUCCGAAGAGAUGUUGGAGACUGCGCCUGCUGCUUCGCUCGUGUGCCCCGCCGUGAUGCAGUGGGCCGCGGGCCUGAUUCACCGCAAGAGCGCCACACCAGCCGCAUUCAGGGCAAUGCGUCAACAAGCGCCCGUGCUGUUGGAGAGGUUGGCUGCGCCGCCGUCUGCAAUGCCUAGUGGCGCCACAAAACGCGCUACCUGCGCGCCAAGCUUGCGCCGUGGAUCAGGAACCGUGGUAGAAGCACCGCUGCAGGCGCUGCAAGAAAGGGGCGAGUAUGUUUGCUUUCUGCAAGAUGCCUACGCCUAUCUGCGAACCAGCGCUUCGUUUCCCACUACUUCGACAUCGGCCCAGGGUGCCGUUGCUCGGCAUCGAGCAUUCCACUCUGCUCAUGGUGCUGCACAUCCUGUUGCUCCCUCUUCACCCACGCAAGAGACUUGCCCGAGGUUUGCGGCGCAGUCACGGACAUUGUCAUCAAAGCAGGAAAACGAAAGCUCGUCAGCUGUCGAAGACGCGCCUCUAUCAUCGCAGUACAGCAUGAUCUUUCUUGAUUGCUACGACCCGGAUAGGGAACACAUGAUGCACGAAGGCACGCUUGUCGAGCUCUGCGCGCGGCGGCUGCAGCCUGGUGGUGUACUGGUAGUGAAUGCGCAUGUGCUGCCAAGCGUGGAGAACUUGCGCCGUGACUUCCUCGGCUGCGGUUUUUCGACUGUGCAGGCGCUGCGGGUGGCCGGACAUACGCAGACGGUGGUGGUGUGCGUCGCGCAGGACAAGGCAGCGGACGGGGAACCUGCAGCUGCCGAAAGGCUAGCAAGCAGUGCUUCUUGUGCGCCGAUGCUGACCGAGAAGCGGGGCCGGUUCACAGUUCGGCAGAUGCAGGUGCUGGCGACGGCCCUCAAUGGGGCCCUCCAUGUGGCCGGCAGCUCGCCAUCAAGCGUAACCGAUGGCGGCGAUGGCGCUGGGCGAGACAAGGUAUCAGCUGCAGCCACCACCAGCACCACCGCCGGCGCCUUUUCCCUCUCCUGUACUUCUCCUCCCCCCCAGCCGGUAACGCCGGCGUUUCGGUUUGAUGCGGCAUGGCUGAAGUCGUGCCGCCGCGUCGUCGUUCCCCCAUCCAAGGUGCCAAGCAGCCGUCGUGCACGGCCAGCCAGCACCACACCGUCACAGGCCUGCUCCAUCGACGUUGAUCUGCGCGUGUGGGAGCACUACUUUUGAGGGAGAGCGAGAAGGAGGAGGGGAGAGGGGCGGUCAAGGCGUUGCUGCCGUGGUGGCUCACUCCUGGAGAACUGGUACUGGGAGGGAGGCAUGGACUGCUAUCCGCGGUGUGCUGCAUCUUCCGCAACAGAGUAACCUCCCGUGUCUCCCAGGACACAAACCCAUGCACAGACGUGUAGAUAUAGACAUGAGCAUGGGCACGCAUAGACACACACACACACUCACGCAUAUACAUAUAUACAUACGUGAUACCCAUAGAUGCCUGUGAAGUCUGCAUAGAGAAGAGAGG
rnacentral:misc_RNA from 1 species